UUCACGGCCCUGAUCGAAGUCGUUCCCGUUCCUCUAUAACUGGUUCGGUCAAACAGGAGCCGAUAGCAACACUUUUACCGACGGUCGCUGUACAGCUCACCUGUAGCUGUCCCAGCAACAUUAAGGAAAAGGACAACC
ensembl:snoRNA